rnacentral:rRNA from 1 species
GACGAACGCUGGCGGCGUGCUUAACACAUGCAAGUCGAACGAUGAAGGAGAGCUUGCUCUCCGGAUUAGUGGCGAACGGGUGAGUAACACGUGACUAACCUGCCCCUUUCUCUGGAUAACGCUCCGAAAGGAGUGCUAAUACCGGAUACGAACUCUGAACACAUGUUCGGAGUUGGAAAGUUUUUCGGAAAGGGAUGGAGUCGCGGCCUAUCAGCUUGUUGGUGAGGUAACGGCCCACCAAGGCGACGACGGGUAGCCGGCCUGAGAGGGCGACCGGCCACACUGGGACUGAGACACGGCCCAGACUCCUACGGGAGGCAGCAGUGGGGAAUAUUGCACAAGGGGCGAAAGCCUGAUGCAGCGACGCCGCGUGAGGGAUGAAGGUCUUCGGAUUGUAAACCUCUUUCAGUAGGGACGAAGCGAAAGUGACGGUACCUAAAGAAGAAGCACCGGCUAACUACGUGCCAGCCGCCGCCGUAA